rnacentral:rRNA from 1 species
AACCGGAUUAGAUACCCUGGUAGUCCACGCCNUNAACGAUGAAUACUAAGUGUUGGAGGGUUUCCGCCCUUCAGUGCUGCAGCUAACGCAUUAAGUAUUCCGCCUGGGGAGUACGACCGCAAGGUUGAAACUCAAAGGAAUUGACGGGGGCCCGCACAAGCGGUGGAGCAUGUGGUUUAAUUCGAAGCAACGCGAAGAACCUUACCAGGUCUUGACAUCUUCUGCCAGGCUGAGAGAUCAGCUGUUCCCUUCGGGGACAGAAUGACAGGUGGUGCAUGGUUGUCGUCAGCUCGUGUCGUGAGAUGUUGGGUUAAGUCCCGCAACGAGCGCAACCCUUAUGUUCAGUUGCCAGCAUUUAGUUGGGCACUCUGGACAGACUGCCGGUGACAAACCGGAGGAAGGCGGGGAUGACGUCAAAUCAUCAUGCCCCUUAUGACCUGGGCUACACACGUGCUACAAUGGGUGGUACAAUGAGCAGCGAGACCGCGAGGUCAAGCGAAUCUCUAAAAACCAUCCUCAGUUCGGAUUGCAGGCUGCAACUCGCCUGCAUGAAGCUGGAAUCGCUAGUAAUCGCGGAUCAGCACGCCGCGGUGAAUACGUUCCCGGGCCUUGUACACACCGCCCGUCACACCAUGAGAGUUUGUAACACCCAAAGNCGGUGGGACAACCGUAAAGGAGUCAGCCGUCUAAAGGUGGGACAAAUGAUUAGGGUGAAGUCGUAACAAGGUA